rnacentral:rRNA from 1 species
GCCGGGACCCCACUGCUAUCGGGAUAGGACUAAGACAUGCUAGUCGUGUGACUCAGGCAAAACGAGUCACGGCACACAGCUCAGUAACACGUGGCUAAUCUGCCCUUAGGACGAGAACAACCCCGGGAAACUGGGGCUAACUCUUGAUAGGCGAAGAACUCUGGAAUGAGUCUUUACCUAAAUAGAUUCACGUUAUCCUCGUGAACCUGCCUAAGGAUGAGGCCGCGACCGAUCAGGUUGUUGGCGAGGUAAUGGCUCACCAAGCCUUUUACCGGUGCGGGCCGUGGGAGCGGGAGCCCGGAGAUGGGUACUGAGACAAGGACCCAGGCCCUACGGGGCGCAGCAGUCGCGAAACCUUUGCAAUAAGCGAAAGCUUGACAGGGCUAUCCCGAGUGCCAUCCGCUGAGGAAGGCUUUUACCCAGUCUAGAACGCUGGGGGAAUAAGGAGAGGGCAAGUCUGGUGUCAGCCGCCGCGGUAAUACCAGCUCUUCGAGUGGUGUGGAUGUUUAUUGGGCCUAAAGCAUCCGUAGCUGGUUAGGUCAGUCCCUUGUUAAAUCCACCGAAUUAAUCGUUGGAUCGCGGGGGAUACUGCUUGGCUAGGGGACGAGAGAGGCAGACGGUAUUUUCGGGGUAGGGGUGAAAUCCUAUAAUCCCGGGAAGACCACCAGUGGCGAAGGCUGUCUGCUAGAACGCGCCCGACGGUGAGGGAUGAAAGCUGGGGGAGCGAACCGGAUUAGAUACCCGGGUAGUCCCAGCUGUAAACGAUGCAGGCUAGGUGUUUGGACGGCCACGUGCCGUUCUAGUGCCGCAGGGAAGCUGUUAAGUCUGCCGCCUGGGGAGUACGAUCGCAAGAUUGAAACUUAAAGG